UACAGAGGGUGCGAGCGUUAAUCGGAAUUACUGGGCGUAAAGCGUGCGUAGACGGUAGCGUAAGUCAGAUGUGAAAGCCCCGGGCUCAACCUGGGAACUGCAUUUGAGACUGCUCUGCUCGGGUGCGGAAGAGGGAAGCGGAAUUUCCGGUGUAGCGGUGAAAUGCGUAGAUAUCAGGAGGAACACCUGUGGUGUAGACAGCUUACUGGACCACUUCUGACGCUGAGACACGAAAGCGUGGGUAGCAAACAGG
rnacentral:rRNA from 1 species